GGAGUGUAUUGUGAUUGAUAAACCUCUAACACAUGUCAAGUGUCUUUGGUUCAUAUAGCUUGCUAUACCAACUACAUUGUGUGUUAAGUUUAUAAAUCUAAGACUGGUUCAUAUAGCUUGUUAUACCAGUUCUAAUGCAUUACAUCCUAUGAAACCUAGAAUAAAAGUUUCUUAUCUUUCUUUUAGUGUUAAAACUAUUUGAGUCAAAGAUUUUUUUUCUUUCUUUCAACUUUCUUUUAGAAUAAGUGGGGGAUUGUUGUAAUAAAGAUAUGUUAUUGCAAAAGAAUAUUUUGCAAAUGUAACGUUGAUUGCAACGUUCCUUCUUUGAACGUUGGUAUGCUAUUAAUUGGCAACGGGAAAAAUUGAGCAACAUUAAAAUUUUUUAUGAUUUUUUAAUUCCUUUUAUUUAAUUGUUCUUUCCCUAGCUCUAUGAAUAGGGAGCUCCCCCUC
rnacentral:lncRNA from 1 species